rnacentral:rRNA from 1 species
UACGUAGGGGGCAAGCGUUGUCCGGAAUCAUUGGGCGUAAAGAGCGUGUAGGCGGCCAGAAAAGUCCGCUGUGAAAACUCGAGGCUCAACUUCGAGCUGUCGGUGGAAACUUUCUGGCCAGAGUCCGGAAGAGGAGAAUGGAAUUCCUGGUGUAGCGGUGAAAUGCGCAGAUAUCAGGAAGAACACCCGUGGCGAAGGCGGUUCUCUGGGACGGUACUGACGCUGAGACGCGAAAGCGUGGGGAGCGAACAGG